CCUACGGGGUGCAGCAGUGAGGAAUAUUGGUCAAUGGACGAGAGUCUGAACCAGCCAAGUAGCGUGAAGGAUGACUGCCCUAUGGGUUGUAAACUUCUUUUAUAUGGGAAUAAAAUGUUCCACGUGUGGGAUUUUGUAUGUACCAUAUGAAUAAGGAUCGGCUAACUCCGUGCCAGCAGCCUCGGUAAUACGGAGGAUCCGAGCGUUAUCCGGAUUUAUUGGGUUUAAAGGGAGCGUAGGUGGAUUGUUAAGUCAGUUGUGAAAGUUUGCGGCUCAACCGUAAAAUUGCAGUUGAAACUGGCAGUCUUGAGUACAGUAGAGGUGGGCGGAAUUCGUGGUGUAGCGGUGAAAUGCUUAGAUAUCACGAAGAACUCCGAUUGCGAAGGCAGUUCACUGGACUGCAACUGACACUGAGGCUCGAAAGUGUGGGUAUCAAACAGGAUUAGAUACCCGGGUAGUC
rnacentral:rRNA from 1 species